rnacentral:rRNA from 1 species
CGGGGGGGCCAGCCUAACACAUGCAGUCGAGCGGCAGCGGAAAGUAGCUUGCUACUUUGCCGGCGAGCGGCGGACGGGUGAGUAAUGUCUGGGAAACUGCCUGAUGGAGGGGGAUAACUACUGGAAACGGUAGCUAAUACCGCAUAACGUCGCAAGACCAAAGAGGGGGACCUUCGGGCCUCUUGCCAUCAGAUGUGCCCAGAUGGGAUUAGCUAGUAGGUGGGGUAACGGCUCACCUAGGCGACGAUCCCUAGCUGGUCUGAGAGGAUGACCAGCCACACUGGAACUGAGACACGGUCCAGACUCCUACGGGAGGCAGCAGUGGGGAAUAUUGCACAAUGGGCGCAAGCCUGAUGCAGCCAUGCCGCGUGUAUGAAGAAGGCCUUCGGGUUGUAAAGUACUUUCAGCGGGGAGGAAGGCGUUGAGGUUAAUAACCUCAGCGAUUGACGUUACCCGCAGAAGAAGCACCGGCUAACUCCGUGCCAGCAGCCGCGGUAAUACGGAGGGUGCAAGCGUUAAUCGGAAUUACUGGGCGUAAAGCGCACGCAGGCGGUCUGUCAAGUCGGAUGUGAAAUCCCCGGGCUCAACCUGGGAACUGCAUUCGAAACUGGCAGGCUAGAGUCUUGUAGAGGGGGGUAGAAUUCCAGGUGUAGCGGUGAAAUGCGUAGAGAUCUGGAGGAAUACCGGUGGCGAAGGCGGCCCCCUGGACAAAGACUGACGCUCAGGUGCGAAAGCGUGGGGAGCAAACAGGAUUAGAUACCCUGGUAGUCCACGCCGUAAACGAUGUCGACUUGGAGGUUGUGCCCUUGAGGCGUGGCUUCCGGAGCUAACGCGUUAAGUCGACCGCCUGGGGAGUACGGCCGCAAGGUUAAAACUCAAAUGAAUUGACGGGGGCCCGCACAAGCGGUGGAGCAUGUGGUUUAAUUCGAUGCAACGCGAAGAACCUUACCUACUCUUGACAUCCAGAGAACUUUCCAGAGAUGGAUUGGUGCCUUCGGGAACUCUGAGACAGUGCUGCAUGGCUGUCGUCAGCUCGUGUUGUGAAAUGUGGGGUAAGUCCCGCAACGAGCGCAACUCUUAUCCUUUUGUUGCCAGCGGUUCCGGCCGGGAAC